rnacentral:rRNA from 1 species
GAUGAACGCUGGCGGCGUGCCUAACACAUGCAAGUCGAGCGAUUCUCUUCGGAGAAGAGCGGCGGACGGGUGAGUAACGCGUGGGUAACCUGCCCUGUACACACGGAUAACAUACCGAAAGGUAUGCUAAUACGAGAUAAUAUGCUUUUAUCGCAUGGUAGAAGUAUCAAAGCUUUUGCGGUACAGGAUGGACCCGCGUCUGAUUGGCUAGUUGGUAAGGUAACGGGUUACAAAGGCGACGAUCAGUAGCCGACCUGAGAGGGUGAUCGGCCACAUUGGAACUGAGACACGGUCCAAACUCCUACGGGAGGCAGCAGUGGGGAAUAUUGCACAAUGGGCGAAAGCCUGAUGCAGCAACGCCGCGUGAGCGAUGAAGGCCUUCGGGUCGUAAAGCUCUGUCCUCAAGGAAGAUAAUGACGGUACUUGAGGAGGAAGCCCCGGCUAACUACGUGCCAGCCGCCGCCGUAA